AGGCGCCAGAAAGUGGAAUGACGUCUCUCCAGAAUCUGGGGGAAAAAAAGCAGGAGAUUUUGUGAGUGGUCAGGCUGAGAACAGUGACACUGGAGAUGCGUGUUCAUGUGAAUUCUCCAUGUUUUUCUUUCUCUCUUUGAAUGAAUACAACGUUGCCAGUUGGAAUAUUAUCGCUAUUUUUCGGGAAAAAUCUCAUAACAAUUGAUUUUAAACAGCGUUUGACAUGCUUCUAAAUACGGAAAUGGAAUAUUUUUUGUCACGAAAUGCGCUCGUGCGUCACCCUUCGGAUACUGACCUGAACGCACGAACAAAACGGAGCUAUUUGGAUAUAACUAUGGAUUAUUUGGAACCAAAACAACAUUUGUUGUUGAAGUAGAAGUCCUGGGAGUGCAUUCUGACAAAGAACAGCAAAGAGGACCUGAGCCCUAGGACCAUGCCUCAGGACUGCCUUGCCUGAUGACUCCUUUCUGUCCCCAGUCCACCUGGUCAUGCUGCUGCUCCAGUUUCAACUGUUCUGCCUGCGGCUAUGGAACCCUGACCUGUUCACAGGACGUGCUACCUUGUCCCAGACCUUCUGUUUUCAACUCUUUAAAGACAGCAGGUGCUGUAGAGAUACUCUGAAUGAUCGGCUAUGAAAAGCCAACUGACAUUUACUCCUGAGGUAUUCAUUGUGUUCCGAGUUGAGGCCUAGGAGAGCGUCCUGCGGAUGUCCUGCGCCACAAUGCCCCUUCCACCCAAUCAAACAUCAUUAGACUUUAUUGUCUCCGUGGCAUUUCUGCCUUUGACAUUCCUGCCUCUGGAACUGAAGAUGAGCCAGUGGACACUGGACAGCAGCAGCAGCAUGUUGUUAACCAAUGAAAUCACAGGCAGGGACAUGAAAGGGACAUUAGGGAAGAGUACUUGAUGGACUCUUGGUCGUUUUAAGAACUUUGAUGAUGACUUCAUCAAUUCGUAGUGACAAGCAUUGCUAUUGCCCUUAAAAAGGCUUUAACAAGAGUAAACACAGAACUAUGUAAUGCUUGACACUUCACCUCUUGACAUACAGUAUAUAUGAGUGUAAUGCAUAGGUCAGCAGCACAUGUUUGAAACUAAGGCAGGUAAAGCUGUCUGCCAGAUCACUGGUCCAAAACCAUUAGACUGACUGACACAGAAAGAAGCAGAGGGGUAGGAAAUGACAAUACAGACUUCUUGGCCAGCAUCCAGAACCUUCUGUCAGCCAGGAGAGUGAGGAGACUAAAAUUAUGGAGUUAGGAUGGAUGGAGAUAAUUUGUCUGUGUUGAUACAUCAUUCAUUUUGUCUGAUUUUAGAAUUGACCAAUGCAACCUUUCAGCCACACUCUUAGAAAAAAAGGUUUCCGAAAGGGUUCUUCGGCUGUCCCCAUAGGAGUACCCUUUGAAGAACCCUUUUUGGUUCCAGGUAGAUCCUGGAACCAAAAAAGGGAUCUACAUGGAACCCAAAAGAGUUCUACCUGGAACCAAAAGGGGAUCUACCUGGACCCAAAAACGGUUAUUCGAAAGGUUCUCCUAUCAGGACAGCCAAAGAACUUCUUUAGGUUCUACAUCUAAUAUUUUUUUCUUAGAGUGCAGGCUCAAUCUCUACAGGCUAGAGGGUUUUAUUUAUCCAAAUAUCUUAAUGGACAAUGAAUAACAGGCGUCCCUCAGUAAUGUGUUUAUGGUCUUGGAAUGAAGCUUCACAGCUUUAGUUAAAAGCCCUUGAAACUUGGGUGUUGUAUUACAUUUCAGUCCUAUUCUUCAAGAGGAGCAAGGAUGACUGUGUUAAAUUUUCCUGUCCUUGCUUUCAUGUUUUUCACUUAUGAUGAAUGGCUGUAUUUAGGCUGCUUCCUCUCUCUCUCACACUGAUAUCUUGCUCUGUAUUGAAUCUUUCUUCAAAAUCUCAUCUCCACUUUUUGUUGUCUCAAUUACAGUUUCUUUUUUUGGGGCGUUCAAUGGAUAGCUCUCUGGCAUCAUAUCCAUCCAACAUGGCCAUUACCAGGGCUCAUUUCAUAAAAUGUUGUCUAUAAAUCCUUGAACGUCUCUUUUAUUCAAUAUGAGCAUUGAGUGAGAUUUUACCAAAUAAAUAGUUAUCCUGAGUUUGAACCCCCCUAGCAUCCAUACUAUAUAGUUUCUGGCAUAGAGCCAAUACUACAGCUAAGGUAUUGCCCAGAUUCAAAUGGAAAUAUUAAAUUGUUUUUGAAGAUGAGAGGGCAGCAUGACAGAGCCUUGUUGUAUCGAUCAAGCUGGUAUGAAUAAUAUGAUCUGGGUGAGACCCCAUAUUGGCUUCAUAUUUAUCUCUGUAUUGCGGCAUAUUUAUUCACUGUGAGGGAGGUAUCAGUGACUCAAUGAACAGUGGUUUCAAAAACCAGGGCCGGCUCUAGGCUUUUUGGGAUCCUAAGUGAGAUUUGGUUUGGG
rnacentral:lncRNA from 1 species